rnacentral:rRNA from 1 species
GAUCCUAGCUUGCUAGGAGGCGUCGAGCGGCGGACGGGUGAGUAAUGCAUAGGAAUCUGCCCGAUAGUGGGGGAUAACCUGGGGAAACUCAGGCUAAUACCGCAUACGUCCUACGGGAGAAAGCGGGGGCUCUUCGGACCUCGCGCUAUCGGAUGAGCCUAUGCCGGAUUAGCUAGUUGGUAGGGUAACGGCCUACCAAGGCGACGAUCCGUAGCUGGUCUGAGAGGAUGAUCAGCCACACUGGGACUGAGACACGGCCCAGACUCCUACGGGAGGCAGCAGUGGGGAAUAUUGGACAAUGGGCGAAAGCCUGAUCCAGCCAUGCCGCGUGUGUGAAGAAGGCCUUCGGGUUGUAAAGCACUUUCAGCGAGGAAGAAGGCCUGGUGGCCAAUACCCGCCAGGAGCGACAUCACUCGCAGAAGAAGCACCGGCUAACUCCGUGCCAGCAGCCGCGGUAAUACGGAGGGUGCGAGCGUUAAUCGGAAUUACUGGGCGUAAAGCGCGCGUAGGUGGCUUGAUAAGCCGGUUGUGAAAGCCCCGGGCUCAACCUGGGAACGGCAUCCGGAACUGUUAGGCUAGAGUGCAGGAGAGGAAGGUAGAAUUCCCGGUGUAGCGGUGAAAUGCGUAGAGAUCGGGAGGAAUACCAGUGGCGAAGGCGGCCUUCUGGACUGACACUGACACUGAGGUGCGAAAGCGUGGGUAGCAAACAGGAUUAGAUACCCUGGUAGUCCACGCCGUAAACGAUGUCGACUAGCCGUUGGGAGCCUCGAGUUCUUAGUGGCGCAGUUAACGCGAUAAGUCGACCGCCUGGGGAGUACGGCCGCAAGGUUAAAACUCAAAUGAAUUGACGGGGGCCCGCACAAGCGGUGGAGCAUGUGGUUUAAUUCGAUGCAACGCGAAGAACCUUACCUACCCUUGACAUCCUCGGAACUUGGCAGAGAUGCCUUGGUGCCUUCGGGAACCGAGAGACAGGUGCUGCAUGGCUGUCGUCAGCUCGUGUUGUGAAAUGUUGGGUUAAGUCCCGUAACGAGCGCAACCCCUAUCCCUAUUUGCCAGCGAUUCGGUCGGGAACUCUAGGGAGACUGCCGGUGACAAACCGGAGGAAGGUGGGGACGACGUCAAGUCAUCAUGGCCCUUACGGGUAGGGCUACACACGUGCUACAAUGGCAGGUACAAAGGGUUGCAAGACGGCGACGUGGAGCUAAUCCCAUAAAGCCUGCCUCAGUCCGGAUCGGAGUCUGCAACUCGACUCCGUGAAGUCGGAAUCGCUAGUAAUCGUGAAUCAGAAUGUCACGGUGAAUACGUUCCCGGGCCUUGUACACACCGCCCGUCACACCAUGGGAGUGGACUGCACCAGAAG